rnacentral:lncRNA from 1 species
UUUGAAUUAUAUCCAGGAGAUCCCCUGGAAUAUGAAAGAAGUCAAUUAAAGAGAUGUCAACUGGAAAGAUUCAGAAGAUGGUGAAUAACUCCAAGGGUCUACCAGAUGAUACCAACUCUUUGCAGUGGGUAUGGAUGCUUCUGUUUUAAACCUGAAGAUUCAAACAUGCACUCUUAGUGACUUCAUUUUUCUGCCAGCACUGGGAUUUUCAAGUAGAGAGUCAAUGAAACCAGCUUGGCAUUGGGUUACUGAAAUGUAUCCACAAAGGAUGGACAACCCCAUGGCACUCCCUCUUCUGCCUUCUCUGGAUAUACUCUUUCCUAGGCCAGCACCAUCACGGACCCUGACUUUGCUUCAAGAAAUGCAGCGUCUCCCUCACAGAAGUUUAUUCACUCCAUUGAGAACCUACAGUGGAGUGUGCUGUCUGCACGUGGCUGAGAUACCCAGGCAGGACUCUGUGGUACAAGGACAGGACAUGUUGUUAAGAGGACAAACUGCGUGUGAAAUGGAUACGUUGCAGAGGCUGGAUUCUACGGAGCAGAUGGGCUUCCUAGGUUCUCUCAGGAUCACUUAUACUUUUGACCAGCUUUGAGAAAGGAUUGAUCUGCCAUUGAUGUUGAUUCUGCCAUGACAUCAGCUGUCUGGGUUUUACUGAUACAUGCAAGACAUAUAUCAUGGGCAUAUUCAGAUUUCUGUUCUACUUCACUCUUAAUAGUAGUAAUCCUUGAGCACUAGCCAAUUUUUGAGUGCUUACUAUGUGCCAGGCACUAUAAUAGUUAUUUGUGAACACAACACAAUCUCCUUUUAUAUCUUACAAUGACACUAUGUGAGGGUAACGUAUUAUCUCCAUGUCGCAGAAGAGAAAACACUCAGGCUUAGCGAUGUUUAGUUUCUUGCUCACAGUCACAGGACAAUUCAGUAGCAAAUCAGUGUUUCCGUCUCAAGGUUGUCCAGCUCCAAAGCCUGAGCACCAACCUCAAGGUGAAACAGCCUUGGCUUCUCGUACAUACUUCCUCACUUCUUAACCCAACUUAUAAAUAUUCAUUGAACAGGUACUGGGUUAAAUGCUGAGAAUAUAGCAGUAACCAGAAAGACAUGUUCUCUCACAGUAUGAAAAAUACAUGUUAGUAGGGAUGACUACAAUUAAGUUAAAGUUACAUGAAGAACCGUUUGAAUGCACUUGUGGUGAGAACUAUGGUGAGGAGUUCAGGGUGCUAUGGAAGGAUUUAGCAGGGGGGUAUGUUAUCCGAGGUGCCCUAGAGAAGGAGGUACUUAAGCUGGGACUUAAUCCAAGGUAGACAUCAGCUUCAAAAGAAGGGGAAAGAGCAUGCCAGGCAAAAGAAGUAGGUGUGUGUAAGCCCAGAGAAGGGGAUGGCUGGCAGCCAUCCACAAACAUGGAAGGCCAGUGUCGCUGGACUGUGGAGAGCAGGCAGAGUGGUGAGAGAGGAGGCUGAUCAAGCAGGCAGGGCUGCGCUCAAGAAGGGCCCAGAAUCCACACAGAUGGUGGAGAAAAGCACAGAGCAGUUCCCAGACUCUGUAUGGUCAGGAAUUCUGGAAGGUUGAAUGCUGCUGAGGGCUCUGGUUUGUUUCCU